rnacentral:lncRNA from 1 species
AAGCUUUGCUUGUUUUCGUGUUAUUUUGAAAUCAAUUACUAUUUUUGAAAAUGCGCCCUAAAGCUAUCCAAUUUCAACAGUUAAAUAUAAAUAUUACCUAUCUUAAUAAAACAUAUAAAAACCAUCAAAAAUAAAUAAGUGGCCUUAUUACAUUUAAAAGCCCAAAACCUCAAACGUAAUUAAAAGGAUGUCCAGUUCACCAGAAGAAAAUCAAACUUUCAGAACGGGUGGCCACUCCGAAUUCCC